rnacentral:rRNA from 1 species
UACAGAGGUGGCAAGCGUUGUUCGGAAUUACUGGGCGUAAAGGGCGCGUAGGCGGCCAUCUAAGUCAGACGUGAAAUCCCCCGGCUUAACCUGGGAACUGCGUCUGAUACUGGACGGCUCGAGUGUGGGAGAGGCAGGCGGAAUUCCCGGUGUAGCGGUGAAAUGCGUAGAUAUCUGGAGGAACACCGGUGGCGAAGGCGGCAUCCUGGACCAAUACUGACGCUGAGGAGCGAAAGCCAGGGGAGCAAACGGG